UACAGAGGGUGCAAGCGUUGUUCGGAAUUAUUGGGCGUAAAGCGCGUGUAGGCGGCUAUGUAAGUCGGAUGUGAAAGCCCUGGGCUCAACCCAGGAAGUGCACCCGAUACUACGUAGCUCGAGUAUCAGAGAGGACAAUGGAAUAGCCCAUGUAGAGGUGAAAUUCGUAGAUAUGGGCUGGAACACCAGUGGCGAAGGCGAUUGUCUGGAUGAUAACUGACGCUGAGACGCGAAAGCGUGGGUAGCAAACAGG
rnacentral:rRNA from 1 species